UCGAAUACUAAAUAAUAGACCAGCAGCUUUACAAGUCAAGAGAAAAGCUCCAAAUAAAUCUGUUGUGUCUGUGAUCAUCUGGCUCUCUGAGGACUCUUUAUCUGCUGCAGCUGAAUGUUGAUAAAAACAAAAGUCCUCACAAGCGUCAACAGGCUUUGUCUUCAAUUCUCACAGCAGAACAAGUCCAAGGUCAUUUCAUCACAGUCACAACAACAACAACAAUAAGAAGUUUUUCUGUCCAAUGGGAGCCUUCAGUAACUGGAGCUUGUCGGGGUGGACGGUGUCUUUGGCCAAAAUGGAGUUUCAUACACCUGCACACCUGCCUUCUAUCGGCUCAUCUUCUCCCUCAGUCAACACACACCUGCCAGCUAUCAUUUCACCUCCUCUCCAGUAUAUAUCUACCCCGGCUCUUCACCCACUCUUCACUGGAUUGUUGUUUCAACCUCAGCGGAUCAUCUCAUUCCUGCCUGCCAGCUAGGCUUCCCCUCAUCCCACGCUCACAGCCACACACCCUCUCUCUCCACCUGCUGCCGCUGGAUCCCUUUCCCCAACACUCCAAGACCAGAACUCUCCUGCAAUAAACCUUUUUUCUUUAACAACA